rfam:Absidia glauca strain CBS 101.48 genome assembly, contig: contig_5212
GCCCCCAUAGUCUAGCGGUUAUGACGUUUGCUUUACACGCAAAAGGUCCUCGGUUCGAUCCCGGGUGGAGGCA